rnacentral:rRNA from 1 species
UACGUAGGGGGCAAGCGUUGUCCGGAUUUAUUGGGCGUAAAGAGCGUGUAGGCGGCCAUUCAGGUCAGCUGUGAAAACUCGAGGCUCAACCUCGAGACGUCGGUUGAAACCGUUUGGCUAGAGUCCGGAAGAGGAGAGUGGAAUUCCCGGUGUAGCGGUGAAAUGCGCAGAUAUCGGGAGGAACACCGGUGGCGAAGGCGGCCCCCUGGACCGGUACUGACGCUGAGGCGCGAAAGCGUGGGUAGCAAACGGG